GGGGUUGUGGCUCAGUGGUAGAGUGCUUUCCUAGCAUGCAUGAGGCACUGGGUUCGAUCCCCAGCACCACA
rnacentral:tRNA from 1 species